GAGAUUUCCACGGUGGGUGAUUUCUCGUUGACUUGAUGGCUGAGAUGAAGCUUUGAGGAUCUCGCACCCGUGGAUUAAAAUCUUCUGCUACCUGCGCCUUUGAACUUGAAGACAAAAGGGAUAUUUGGCUACGAUUUGAAGUGAGGUUGUUAGAUUCAGUGGUUGACUCAAUAGUGAAGAUAUUAACUCUUCUUGGUGAGAGAAUUAAUGAGCUUGGAUCAUUGUAGCUGUACGGUGUUGCUGGUGUUGUUCUCAUGGAAUUUUCGCCUGGCUUCUGGGAGCUCGAAGGAGACGGAAGAAAAUGCUGUAAUUCCGGUUUGUUGGCAGAGGCUUUCUCAAAAUGACCACCGGUUGAAGAUUAAGAUCGUGCCAUGAAUUUGCUUUCGUUUGAAGGAUGAGAGAGUCCAUAUUCAUCUGGAAUUGAAGCUGUAACUGAAGUGGUUGAUAGUUGGAAUGAUGUUGAGAAGGGUUCGAUCAAAACUAUGAAUGCAAAUGUUUAGAAACCCUUUCUGUGUAUUAGAUAAUUACGUGAAAACUGAGCAACAGUAAGUGCAGGAUUUGUCUCCCGCUUCCUAGAUAGAGAAGCUCUGAUUUCUCUCUACCCGGUUUGAAAGUUAGUAAGAAAGAAAACUACUCAACAAGUCUGUUUACAUAAGUUUGACCAAAACUCUAAUCCGGCUUUGUUCAUUAACUUAAUUUACCAAACAACCUGACAUUAAUUUAUACAUAUAAGAAAAAGACUUACCAUUUAUCUCUCU